GCUAACAACAUCCUUGACUCUUCUUUGAAAGAAGCAAAUCUCAGGGAGUGAAUACUCAGCCAAAGGAAGUCAAGAGGAAAGGCAGAGAUUGUAACGAAAGGAAAAAGUAAAUUUGGUUACUUUGGGAAGAAUACUGUAAAGCUGCAGAUUCUGAUGUAUUCCAUUUACUGCCAGAUAAAUGUUCAGAGGUCUUGGAUGGAUGAUUUUACUACUAAAAAGCUGCAUUACAAGUCUUGACAACUAAACUCCAGUAGAAAAAAGAAAAAGGUAAGUGGACCAUAUUGAUAAAAUAAAAUUUCAAAUUAAACAAUGUUUAAAGGAAAA
rnacentral:lncRNA from 1 species